rnacentral:lncRNA from 1 species
AUGGCUGAUGAAGAGUCCUAAUAUUCAUGGACUAUGAGUCCUAUAUGUCUGAGACUCUAUAAUCGAGAAUCAGGAUUCUCUGAUCAUAAGUCCCACACAUUUUGGAUACCAGGGUCAAGAGUCCCACUGGUUUGGGACUCUUCGAUCAAGGUUUCAUAUCGAUAGACUUUGAUACCUGAUUGCCCAUCGGAUUUGGACUCAGUAUUUAUGAAAGGUUUAAUUAGUGAUUUGAUC